AUUGAACGCUGGCGGCAUGCCUUACACAUGCAAGUCGAACGGUAACAGGCCUUCGGUUGCUGACGAGUGGCGAACGGGUGCGUAAUGCAUCGGCACGUACCCAGAGGUGGUGAGAAUGGAAUAAAAGCGGUGCACAUAACCUAAGGCCUGUUAAGAUUUAAAACGGGGUGCGUCAAAGCAGGAUUGGGCUCUUGCCUUCGGUUAGGGCGGUGUCCGUGCUGCAUUAGCUAGUUGGUAAGGUAAAGGCGUACCAAGGCAACGAUGCGUAGCUGGUCUGAGAGGGCGACCAGCCACACUGGAACUGAGACACGGCCCAGACUCCUACGGGAGGCAGCAGUAGGGAAUUUUGGACAAUGGGCGAAAGCCUGAUCCAGCAAUGCCGCGUGCGGGAAGAAGGCCUUCGGGUUGUAAACCGCUUUUAGCAGGAACGAAACGGUGUCCGCUAAUACCGGGCGCUAAUGACGGUACCUGCAGAGUAAGCACCGGCUAACUACGUG
rnacentral:rRNA from 1 species